GAUGAACGCUGGCGGCGUGCCUAAUACAUGCAAGUCGAGCGAACAGACGAGGAGCUUGCUCCUCUGACGUUAGCGGCGGACGGGUGAGUAACACGUGGAUAACCUACCUAUAAGACUGGGAUAACUUCGGGAAACCGGAGCUAAUACCGGAUAAUAUAUUGAACCGCAUGGUUCAAUAGUGAAAGACGGUUUUGCUGUCACUUAUAGAUGGAUCCGCGCCGCAUUAGCUAGUUGGUAAGGUAACGGCUUACCAAGGCAACGAUGCGUAGCCGACCUGAGAGGGUGAUCGGCCACACUGGAACUGAGACACGGUCCAGACUCCUACGGGAGGCAGCAGUAGGGAAUCUUCCGCAGUGGGCGAAAGCCUGACGGAGCAACGCCGCGUGAGUGAUGAAGGUCUUCGGAUCGUAAAACUCUGUUAUUAGUGAAGAACAAAUGUGUAAGUAACUAUGCACGUCUUGACGGUACCUAAUCAGAAAGCCACGGCUAACUACGUG
rnacentral:rRNA from 1 species